AAGGAUGUUCAUUGGUGCUCCGUUUGGGUUUCUCUGAAAGUGCCUCCUAAGGAUGCACAUAACCCGCUCAAUCUCCUCAUAAUCCUGGGCCUCCCCUAGUAUGACAACAUACAUACACUGCUCUCCUGGCCACUCAGUCCCCAGAAAAGCGUUGAUGGUAUCCGGAUCAUAGCUGAUCAAGUGUCCACGUACAUAGCUCAUGUACCUGCCUGCGGACACUCCUCCUCUUGGCAAGGCAUUUGCAUAAAACUCCUUCACCAACUCAAUACUGGCCGGUGCUGGAUAGGUCGUCAGUCUCUCCCAACCUCGCCUCUCAAUCUCCUGAUGUCAAUCUUGCCAUCUUCUCUAUUCUUAAUAACAAGCCACUUCUUGUCCUUGAAUCUCACUUGUGCUCCUAUUGGAAGUGGUAUAUAUUCAGUGUGGAUAGUGCCUUCUUUGUCAACC
rnacentral:lncRNA from 1 species